rnacentral:misc_RNA from 1 species
GAUGAAGAACGUAGUGAAAUGCGAUAAGUAGUGUGAAUUGCAGAAUUCAGUGAAUCAUCGAAUCUUUGAACGCACAUUGCGCCCCUUGGUAUCCCGAGGGGCAUGCCUGUUCGAGCGUCAUUUCACCACUCAAGCCUGGCUUGGUGUUGGGCGACGUCCCCUUUGGGGACGCGCCUCGAAACGCUCGGCGGCGUGGCACCGGCUUUAAGCGUAGCAGAAUCUUUCGCUUUGGAAGUCGGGGCCCCGUCUGCCGGAAGACCUACUCGCAAGGUUGACCUCGGAUCAGGCAGGGAUACCCGCUGAACUUAAGCAUAUAAAAGCGGAGGA